GGGCCUUUAAUAGAUGUAGCUGCAGUUCCUUCAGAACUCACUUGCGAACAUUUGAUGAAUAAGCCAGAAAAUCUUGAGCCAUGGAUUCUUCUGAACCUUGCACUAGGCUUUCUGUACUUGGAGAACCUGGAGAGAUGUCACUUGGGACAGGUGCCUCAGAAGUGGUACAUGUGUUCCUCAAGAAGUAGUCCUGCCUUUUCUGCCUCCAGACCAAUAACCAGGGGCAGGACUCAGGAUAGCCCAAACAGAGAAAUACUGGCCCUAUUCUGGGAGGAAGUAAAGCAUAUAACCUCAAAUUGUAAAAUGCAUACCAGCAAGAAUUGCAAAAAAGUAUGGUUGAGUAGAACUUGAGGGUGGUGGAUGGACAGCAGAGGUGGUAUAUUCAAUAACGUCGGAGUACUCUCUUGUGACGCAGGAUUUAAAGUUUUGAAUGAACCUGUGGCUAUUUACCAGAUUAACUCAACACUGGAAAAAGAGAUUGCCAGCUGAUAUGGUUAUUGGGAGACUCAAAACACUAUCCUAGUACCCUAUCCAUAGUGGAGGCUAGUGGAGGAGAAGGGGCAAAUGGAAACCUCAUUUAAGUUGAUCUCACAUUGAUCCAUGGACCUGUGAGGCACAGUAUUCCAGAUGAUGUUGUAACACCUCCAUUGGUACUAGUGAUACUGGAGGCCUUAUCUUACUCACCUCUCUAUUCUGAUCACAUCUGACAAUUAGCUCUUCCGAGUUCUCAGUUGAGCCUGUUUUUAAAUUGGAUGUGGAAAGUGUAAGUGGAAAAUUGGAUAUGUAAGAGAAAGAGACUGAAGAAUUAAAAUCAACCUGCUCAAAAGAACGGGGCAAUGUAAAAUAUGUGUAGGGGUCUUCAGACUGCUGGAUAAAUAGAGAUGAUGGUGAAGGAGGAAAUGGGAUGACUAAAGACUGUGGAAAACUGGAGAAAUUCAAGAUAAGGUACUUUGGACGAACAGCCGACCUCAGGCCACAUAGAUAAUUCAGAAUGCUCAUCGCCCCUCACUUUUAACUGAGACCCAGAACACAUGAGAAAAAGACUUACUGGGCAUCUCCUACAUGCCAAGCACUGUUGGAUACUUUUCUUACCUUAUCUCAUUUAACCGCGGUAAGAAUCUUAGGAAGUCGGCGUGAUCAGCCUCAUUCAUGAGAGAGAAAAGUGAGGUCCCGGAGGUUGGGUGACUUGUGAAUUCAAGCGCGCUCGCUCACAAAGGCGCAGGUUGGAGUUCCGGUGUGUGCGUCCGCUUAAACAUCCAAAGUUCUUGCUCAGCAGGUCCUGCCAAGACACCUAGCUGAGGCUCAGUCCUCAGCAGGGGUGGGGAGGAAGAGCACUGCCAAUUUAGCCUGAGCGGUGGAUUAUAGUCACACCAAAGGUACCACAGUCCCAACGGAAGAGCUUGAACUCCAGAUGUGUCGGUUUAUCUCCAAGUUCAUUAUAUAAUCUCCAGGCAAAUAUGGGCAUAAGCGCAGAAGUUCUCUCCAACUCUAGCCUUGAAAUCCAUGCUUAUACUUCUCUUUUGACCCUGGGUGACCCUUGCAUGAGGCAGCAGCCUUUAGGCUGGGGUCAGUCACCAAGAUCCUGGCUCCGCACCCCUUCUGUUUUGCCUAAAAGGCCUCCUUGUGACCAUUUCUGACCCUCCACACUGGAAGUACUGGCAUCUGGCCAACUGUGCAUCAUGGUGUCUUCCCACAACACUUUAUUCAAGCGAAGAUCUUUCCCUCUUCUCUAUUUGUACCAUGUUGACUUCUGCGGGCGGUUCCAACAUUUUCUUUUCGCAGUUAAAUCCACGCGGUGUUACCUGCAAGCUUCCCAAUGUGCCAUCUAUUUCUAAAGACUGCUCUGAGUCCUUUUUUGAAAUCUGUAAUAUUGCUGAACACUUCCUGAACAUGAUAAGCACCAGUUUUAUACUUACCUACUUGAACACAAAAGUUAUGAGAAAAUGGGAAGUGAUGAAGAAAUUACUUAAAUAAUUGAUAACGAUGCCAUGGUGUGUAUUAUGAUGUACAGAAACUGAAACGUACACGCAUCAGUAUAUCCGUUUCUUAAUGGUGUUGUAACAAAUUACCACGAAUUCACUGGUUUAAAACAACACAGAUGUAUUCUCUUACUGAUUCUGGAGGUCAGAAGUCUAAACAUUUUUUUGACAGGGCGAUAUUUCUUCUGGAAACCCAAGGCGAGAAUCCAUGCCCCUCUGAAUUUUUUCAGGUUCUAGAGCCUGCACGCACCCCUUGGCCCAGUGUGUUCUUUGCUUCUCUCUGACCUCUUAUUCUCUGUCUCUUACCCUGUCUCUGACCCUGACCUUCCAGUCUCUGACCCUGACCUCCCAUUUCUUUCAGAUAGGUAACUUUAUGAUUACAUAGGGUCCCUGCAGAUAAUCCAGGAUAGCUUCCACAUCUCAAGAUCCAUGUCUUGACUACAUUUGCAAAGUCCUUUUGCUAUAUAUUGUACUAUAUUCGGAGGAUUAGAAUGGAUAUUUUGGAGGAGGAAUUAUUCCCCACAAAACAACCAAGGGAAAGAAAACUAGAGCAUUAAACUGGUAUAAAGAUGAUUAAAUAAAGAAGCCAAGAGUGCAGGCUCCAGUAACACCCAACAGUGAUUCCUCUAUAGCACAGUAGCAGAAAAGCAUUUCUGGUGAAACAGGAACUGCAAAGUAUAAGGAGUUCGGACCAUGUUUGCUCAAGUUCAUUGGACAGAUUAAUUCAAAUAUUCCCAUCAUAAGCUUCUUCGUGAUGAAUCUGAUGACAGAAACUGAACUUAAAGCCUCUGAUUUGUUGCUCAUGUACCAUUAUUAUAAGCUAAAAUAAUAUAUAUGUACAUACAUCAUACUCACCUGUACAUACAUAUGCACACAUAGGAAUGCAUAUAUACAUAAAACCAUGUAGUUAACAUAUAUGUGGAACACGAGUUAGGAAUGUUCAAAAUAGAAAUGAAACUUCAAAGACUUUCUGAAUAAUCUCCACCUAAAAAAAUAUCAACUCUAUGUUCUUUUGAUACAAACACUAUUUAUAUUGCAUCUGAAAACAAAGGAGCUCAGCCUUACACAUGUUCUAGCAUGUUCCCUCUACCUGCAGUCUCAAGUGUUCACUGCUCCUGAUUUACCAGCAGGGGGUCUGGUGGGUGCACAUGUAACCCAGUGGACAAUGCAAUGUCAUCAAGAACACUGGGCACUUACACUCUUUCAGUGGCCUGGUAUUCAUUAUUCAAGUCGAUGAACCUGUAUGCAUGAGAACCUUCAGUCCAUUUCUAAGGGUUGUGAUCAAUAAGCCGGGUGGUGGGGGAUGGAGGUGAAGAGGGAAAAUAAAUGUGCCCUUUUUUUUUAGAAUGUGGCAUAAAAAUACCUGAAACCAGAAUUUCAUAACAAAAGGGCAAGCUAACCUUACUAAAUGCUGAUUACACAGUGUAUAAUAGAAAAGGAAAUAAAAGCGUUUUUAUAAAAUGUAUCAAAUCCUAAGAGUGCUGUUAAACUCAUUAAAGAAAAAAUGAAGUUAGAGAAACUGGUCUUAUUUUUUUUCACUCCCAGUAGAGUUCAUUUCUACUUCAACAACUAAGCCAAGGUCACAUUUAACUCACUUCAAUUUCACCCAGUGCACAAGCUAAUGUCAAUAGUACAGCUGCCAUGCAGAGCUAAAGACUGAUGGUUAGACAAAGCCAUUUACACAAGGCUGGGUCUUUCAUCUUCUCUCAGCCAGUGACAUAAGAAAGCACUGAGGUUAUUCUCAACUAGAGACGAAAACUGGCAUAUUAGAAAGAAUGUUAUUCUCCUUAGCUGUCACACAAAGGAUCUGAAGAAAUGUAGAAAUGUUUUUUUUCCUCCCCCCACUCUGGUCAUCUGGGGAGAUCACAAAGUGACUCUAAUAGCCUUCACUCUGAAAUUUUCACAUGGUUUAAGUGAUUGCCAAGUCUGAUAUUUUCCAUUUACACUUCAUUGCCAUCAGAAAAAGAAAAAAAAAUCAAUAUACCUACCUACUCAAGUGUGUCACAGGAUGAGCUUAUAAAAGAAGACAUCAGUCUUUUUAGGGCAUGAAAAAUAUACUUAUUCAAAUAUAUCUUAUUUAAAAUGACAUAAAUUGCAGUGGUUAGUCAAGAUUCGAUUUCCUCUAAAAUAUAAGAUUUAAAAUAUUCCUUGACUUGCCAGGAAUCGGAAUCCUUCAAAUUGUUGAUAUAUACAGAUGUACUUGUUUUCUGAUGUAAGUCAUUCUGACUGUAUUUUAUUUUAGUGCAUUAGUGACUACAUUUAUUAAUUUCAUAGGAACUAAAGCAUCACAUUUUACGAGACUGCACAAGGUAGUACUUUUUUUUUUUCUUCUCAGGAAAUAAUUUUAUUUUCAACCGUACUUUUUCAUUGCAUGGCUCCUUGCACUUUUAGC